AUGCAAGUCGAGCGGACAGAAGGGAGCUUGCUCCCGGAUGUUAGCGGCGGACGGGUGAGUAACACGUGGGUAACCUGCCUGUAAGACUGGGAUAACUCCGGGAAACCGGAGCUAAUACCGGAUAGUUCUUGAACCGCAUGGUUCAAGGAUGAAAGACGGUUUCGGCUGUCACUUACAGAUGGACCCGCGGCGCAUUAGCUAGUUGGUGGGGUAAUGGCUCACCAAGGCGACGAUGCGUAGCCGACCUGAGAGGGGAUCGGCCACACUGGGACUGAGACACGGCCCAGACUCCUACGGGAGGCAGCAGUAGGGAAUCUUCCGCAAUGGACGAAAGUCUGACGGAGCAACGCCGCGUGAGUGAUGAAGGUUUUCGGAUCGUAAAGCUCUGUUGUUAGGGAAGAACAAGUGCGAGAGUAACUCUCGCACCUUGACGGUACCUAACCAGAAAGCCACGGCUAACUACGUGCCAGCAGCCGCGGUAAUACGUAGGUGGCAAGCGUUGUCCGGAAUUAUUGGGCGUAAAGGGCUCGCAGGCGGUUUCUUAAGCUGAUGUGAAAGCCCCCGGCUCAACCGGGGAGGGUCAUUGGAAACUGGGAAACUUGAGUGCAGAAGAGGAGAGUGGAAUUCCACGUGUAGCGGUGAAAUGCGUAGAGAUGUGGAGGAACACCAGUGGGAAGGCGACUCUCUGGUCUGUAACUGACGCUGAGGAGCGAAAGCGUGGGGAGCGAACAGGAUUAGAUACCCUGGUAGUCCACGCCGUAAACGAUGAGUGCUAAGUGUUAGGGGGUUCCGCCCCUUAGGCUGCAGCUAACGCAUUAAGCACUCCGCCUGGGGAGUACGGUCGCAAGACUGAAACUCAAAGGAAUUGACGGGGGCCCGCACAAGCGGUGGAGCAUGUGGUUUAAUUCGAAGCAACGCGAAGAACCUACCAGGUCUUGACAUCCUCUGACAACCCUAGAGAUAGGGCUUUCCCUUCGGGGACAGAGUGACAGGUGGUGCAUGGUUGUCGUCAGCUCGUGUCGUGAGAUGUUGGGUUAAGUCCCGCAACGAGCGCACCCUUGAUCUUAGUUGCCAGCAUUCAGUUGGGCACUCUAAGGUGACUGCCGGUGACAAACCGGAGGAAGGUGGGGAUGACGUCAAAUCAUCAUGCCCCUUAUGACCUGGGCUACACACGUGCUACAUG
rnacentral:rRNA from 1 species